rnacentral:sRNA from 1 species
UUUUGGGGAUAAGAUUUCAAAUUU